AGAGUUUGAUCAUGGCUCAGGACGAACGCUGGCGGCGCGCCUAACACAUGCAAGUCGAACGAGCGAGAGAGAGCUUGCUUUCUUGAGCGAGUGGCGAACGGGUGAGUAACGCGUGAGGAACCUGCCUCAAAGAGGGGGACAACAGUUGGAAACGACUGCUAAUACCGCAUAAGCCCACGACCCGGCAUCGGGUAGAGGGAAAAGGAGCAAUCCGCUUUGAGAUGGCCUCGCGUCCGAUUAGCUAGUUGGUGAGGUAAUGGCCCACCAAGGCGACGAUCGGUAGCCGGACUGAGAGGUUGAACGGCCACAUUGGGACUGAGACACGGCCCAGACUCCUACGGGAGGCAGCAGUGGGGAAUAUUGCACAAUGGGGGAAACCCUGAUGCAGCGACGCCGCGUGGAGGAAGAAGGUCUUCGGAUUGUAAACUCCUGUUGUUGAGGAAGAUAAUGACGGUACUCAACAAGGAAGUGACGGCUAACUACGUGCCAGCAGCCGCGGUAAAACGUAGGUCACAAGCGUUGUCCGGAAUUACUGGGUGUAAAGGGAGCGCAGGCGGGAAGGCAAGUUGGAAGUGAAAUCCAUGGGCUCAACCCAUGAACUGCUUUCAAAACUGUUUUUCUUGAGUAGUGCAGAGGUAGGCGGAAUUCCCGGUGUAGCGGUGGAAUGCGUAGAUAUCGGGAGGAACACCAGUGGCGAAGGCGGCCUACUGGGCACCAACUGACGCUGAGGCUCGAAAGUGUGGGUAGCAAACAGGAUUAGAUACCCUGGUAGUCCACACUGUAAACGAUGAUUACUAGGUGUUGGAGGAUUGACCCCUUCAGUGCCGCAGUUAACACAAUAAGUAAUCCACCUGGGGAGUACGACCGCAAGGUUGAAACUCAAAGGAAUUGACGGGGGCCCGCACAAGCGGUGGAGCAUGUGGUUUAAUUCGAUGCAACGCGAAGAACCUUACCUACUCUUGACAUCCAGAGAACAUUCCAGAGAUGGAUUGGUGCCUUCGGGAACUCUGAGACAGGUGCUGCAUGGCUGUCGUCAGCUCGUGUUGUGAAAUGUUGGGUUAAGUCCCGCAACGAGCGCAACCCUUAUCCUUUGUUGCCAGCGAUUUGGUCGGGAACUCAAAGGAGACUGCCGGUGAUAAACCGGAGGAAGGUGGGGAUGACGUCAAGUCAUCAUGGCCCUUACGAGUAGGGCUACACACGUACUACAAUGGCGUAUACAGAGGGAAGCGAGAGUGCGAGCUGGAGCGAACCUCACAAAGUACGUCUAAGUCCGGAUUGGAGUCUGCAACUCGACUCCAUGAAGUCGGGAUCGCUAGUAAUCGCAAAUCAGAAUGUUGCGGUGAAUACGUUCCCGGGCCUUGUACACACCGCCCGUCACACCAUGGGAGUGGGUUGUACCAGAAGUAGAUAGCUUAACCUUCGGGAGGGCGUUUACCACGGUAUGAUUCAUGACUGGGGUGAAGUCGUAACAAGGUA
rnacentral:rRNA from 1 species